GACGAACGCUGGCGGCGUGCUUAAUACAUGCAAGUCGAACGGAAAGGCCCUGCUCUUGUGGGGCUCUCGAGUGCCGAACGGGUGAGUAACACGUGAGUAACCUGCCCUUGACUUAGUGAUAACUUCACGAAACUGCGGCUCAUAUCCGAUAGGAGCUCCUGCUGCAUGUUGGGGGUUGGUAAGUUUCGGCGGUUGUGGAUGGUCUCGCGGCUUAACCGCCUGUUAGUGUGGUAGUGGCUUACCAAGGGUUUGACGGAUAGCCGGCCUGAGAGGGUGACCGGCCACAAUGGUACUAAGAUACGGCCCAGUCUCGUACGGGAGGCAACGGUGGGGAAUAUUGCACAAUGGGCGGGAGCCUGAGACAACAACGCCGCGUGCGGGAUGACGGCCUUCGAGUUGUAAACCGAUGUGGCCGGUAACGAGGCGUGAGUGACGGUAAUGAGUAAGGAAGCCCCGGCUAACUACGUG
rnacentral:rRNA from 1 species